UAUGCGUGCCUCCUCUUCGCGUUCUCUCUCUCUCUCCCCCGUCUGACCUCGGCUCCAUCUGCCGCCGCCGCCGCCUCCGCGCGGUGGAUCUCUCUCUCUCUCCGGCCAAGCUACCUUUGACGGAGGAAAGUUACAGCGCGGGCCGAGGAGGGAGGCCGACGACCUGUACACAGGGCAGAGUCCACACCGGAAGGUCAUAGAGCCAUAGAGGCUGGCCGCAUGCCUUCCACAGUUUUCCUUCAAAAAAAAUUGUGCUAGCAAGAGCUGAGUGGGGUGCGAGAGUAAAAAAAUAUCUGUGCAUUCGAUUGCAUCACGGACAUACGGGAAAGGAUAUGAGGUUCCUGGGGUGGUACCUCAAGAUCGCGGUAGGCGGCGCCGCCAUAGGUGCCAGCAUGGAGCUCUUCAUGAUCCACACCGGCUUCUAUGAGAAGGUAACUGUGUUGGAAUCAGAAAAAAGAGCUUGGGAGAACAGCCCAGAGGCUCAAGCCAUGAGAGAAGCUCUGAAUCCAUGGAGGAAGCAUGAUGAACAAGAGAAAUGAUAGUCCUAGGCUCAUGGCCACCCUCAAUUGUAGCCCUUCAUGAGGAUGUUAUGCUUCCUCAUCUGUAAAAAGGAUGUCAUACUUCCUACUGAUAUUGAAGGAUCUGCCCAAGGAAAGGAAGAAUAUGUGAAGCAUGAGCAGGAAUUUUGUUCUAGGCUGAUGAUGUGGCUUCUGUUUUAGAGGGAGUGCCUUCGAUUUGGCGGUUGCGAGGACGUUCCUUUGUUAAAGGCCUCAUGCCGUUGGUUUCAGAAAAGGAAAACUGCAGCCGGUCUGAGAAGUGAGAAUAGGUAAUUAACUUGCUGACCUUGUCUAGGUAUGCUGUUUUAGUUUCAGAGGACAAACCAGGACGGCUAAUUAUGUCUUUGAGCUAUGCAGUCUAACAAGAUUUAUUACUGUAAUUCAAAAUAUAUUAUGGUGGCAGAGGAUUGGUUAUAGGCUCUAAAAUCAGGAAUACGUUCAGACUAUUUGAUUACUGUAACUGAUAAAAAGGAUGUGCUGCUUCUUUCUUGCUACUGUUUAUGAUGGAGAAGUUGAAGGAAGGAGGCUAUACUUGGCAGUUGGCAUCAACACCUACCACUCUACCAGUCAGAAAGAAACCAAAAGAAGGGGAUACAGUGUAGCGAUGGUCCUUUUGUAAGAAGAAUUAUGUGGGGGAAGAAUGGUAGCUUGUUCAUCUGCUAGUCAAAGCUGAAUUGAAGCUGAAACUGAUAGUUGGGCAGGAAGGCAUUAAUUCAAGAUGAUGCCAAUAAUGCAGGACUCACUGGCAUGGGUAUUUUGAUAGCGAGUUUUAUUAACUGUAAUUCAGGACACAGAGCUACCUGGAUGUUUAGAGUAACAGAAUGGAUUUUAGUUUUACAUAGUGCCGUAGCGUUAGUUUGUUCGUGAGUUUUUCAUGAGUGAAGCGUGAACUUACCGAUGGAGUUUUAGCUAUUUAUACUUUUCUGGACCAUUUUAAGCUGAGACUUGAGAACCAUUUGUUUGUUUCUUCUU